rnacentral:rRNA from 1 species
AGUCAAUCUAACCUAUGGACGAGGAUAACCUCGGGAAACUGAGAAUAAUACUCGAUAGAUCAUUAUACCUGGAAUGGUUUAUGGUCCAAAUGAAUUUCGCCAUAGGGUGGGACUGCGGUCUAUCAGCUUGUUGGUGAGGUAAUGGCCCACCAAGGCUAUAACAGGUACGGGCUCUGAGAGGAGAGGCCCGGAGAUGGGUACUGAGACACGGACCCAGGCCCUAUGGGGCGCAGCAGGCGAGAAAACUUUGCAAUGUGCGAAAGCACGACAAGGUUAAUCCGAGUGGUUCCUGCUAAAGGAAUCUUUUGUUAGUCAUAACACCACUGAUGAAUAAGGGGUGGGCAAGUUCUGGUGUCAGCCGCCGCGGUAAAACCAGCACCUCAAGUGGUCAGGAGGAUUAUUGGGCCUAAAGCAUCCGUAGCCGGCUCUGUAAGUUUUCGGUUAAAUCUAUAUGCUCAACAUAUGGGCUGCCGGGAAUACUGCACAGCUAGGGAGUGGGAGAGGUAGACGGUACUCCGUAGGAAGGGGUAAAAUCCUUUGAUCUAUGGAUGACCACCUGUGGCGAAGGCGGUCUACCAGAACACGUCCGACGGUGAGGGAUGAAAGCUGGGGGAGCAAACCGGAUUAGAUACCCGGGUAGUCCCAGCUGUAAACUAUGCAAACUCAGUGAUGCAUUGGCUUGUGGCCAGUGCAGUGCCGCAGGGAAGCCGUUAAGUUUGCCGCCUGGGAAGUACGUACGCAAGUAUGAAACUUAAAGGAAUUGGCGGGGGAGCACCACAAGGGGUGAAGCCUGCGGUUC